GUCUACAGCCAUGCUACCCUGAACAAGCCCAAGACCAUCUGAUCUUGGAAGCUAAGCAGGGCUGGGCUUGGUUAGCACUUGGAUGGGAGACCACAUAGGAAGAUCAGGUGCUGUAGGCC
rnacentral:rRNA from 1 species